GGUGAUGGAGAAAGACCAUAGUUCAGUGGAAGAGCAUUUCCUUUGUAUGGAAAAGGUCAUAGGUUCAAUCCCCAGCACCAUCA